rnacentral:rRNA from 1 species
GAUGAACGCUGGCGGCGUGCUUAACACAUGCAAGUCGAACGAUGAAGCCCAGCUUGCUGGGUGGAUUAGUGGCGAACGGGUGAGUAACACGUGAGUAACCUGCCCUUAACUCUGGGAUAAGCCUGGGAAACUGGGUCUAAUACCGGAUAGGAGCGUCCACCGCAUGGAGGGUGUUGGAAAGAUUUAUCGGUUUUGGAUGGACUCGCGGCCUAUCAGCUUGUUGGUGAGGUAAUGGCUCACCAAGGCGACGACGGGUAGCCGGCCUGAGAGGGUGACCGGCCACACUGGGACUGAGACACGGCCCAGACUCCUACGGGAGGCAGCAGUGGGGAAUAUUGCACAAUGGGCGCAAGCCUGAUGCAGCGACGCCGCGUGAGGGAUGACGGCCUUCGGGUUGUAAUCCUCUUUCAGUAGGGAAGAAGCGAAAGUGACGGUACCUGCAGAAGAAGCACCGGCUAACUACGUG